CAGCUGCUGGCUACAUCACACCACAGCAACACCAGAUCCAAGCUGCACCUGCGACCUACACCACAGUUCCCAGCAAUGCUAAAUCCCUGACCCACUGAGUGAGGUCCGGGAUCGAACCCGCAUCCUCAUGGAUACUAGUUGGGUUUGUAACCCACUGAGCCACAAUGGAAACUCCAAAUUCCAAGAUGUUUAGAUGUUAGAAACGAAUUCUUUUAACAUAAAACUGUACUUCCAAAUAAAACACACUUACAAGUAGUAGUUUAAACCUGAAAGUCCAAUACUGUCAUUUUUACCAAUGACCGAUCGGGGUGGCAGCCACAUGCAUGGACCUCUCAGAUCUGCUGCAAGAAACAAAGCUGACGAAUGCCCCAAGCUGCGGCCCUUCCGGACCCAUCCCCACGUGCACACGGAGGCCACAUUUCCCACCCUGCUCCCAGACGGCGACGGAGCACAGGGCAGGUCCCAAUGUGGGCCCACUGCUUGUGAACAGGGCUCCUUCGACAGGGGACUUUGGCCCCAGGAGGCCCCGCCGGCUGACCAGAGCGCUCUUCGAGCUGUGCUGCAGUCUGAGGCUCCUGCUGCCCCACCAUCCUCCUCCUCUCCUCCUUCAGAAGUGCCAGGCCUGCGCCACACGCGGAAGGCUCCCCUCGCCUCCGGCUCCUUCCCUCCGCCAUGAACCGAGUUGUGUUCCCACCCGACCUUACGCUGCAGCCUUAACCCCCCAGUACGAGUGCACCUGGAGAGGGCGACCAAGGUUCCACGCGGCCACGGGACCGGCCUGAUUCAACGAGGUCAGGGUCCUGCAAGGACACAAGGAGAGACCCCGACAGCUCUGUGUGAGCUGGUCAUCUCCAGGCUCCCUCACCAGGAACCGAAUCGGCCCGCAUCCUGAUCCUGGACUUCCCUGCCUCCAGACCAGUGAGAAGUUAAUCGCUGCUGUUUAAGCCACCCACUGCAUGAUAUUCUGCUGUGGCAACACCUGACAGUCAUUUCCUACCGCCAUCCCAAGUCCAUCCUGGCAUCUGCUUCUCCAAGAACUCGGCUAAACCAUCGGCAAGAGGUAACAUGACCAGACCAGACCAAAUUGCUAGACUAAAUCAAACCUUUGAUUGCUGACUAGACUAAAUCAAAACCUUUAUUAUCAUAAUUCCUGUUUUACUCAGAGAAUGAAUAGUAUUUUAUUAUAACUAACUAGAAAAAUAGUAGUUCUAGUAACAAAAAUAAGAGAACCAGAGAGUUCCCGUCGUGGUGCAGUGGAAACAAGUCUGACGAGCAUCCAUGAGGACGCGGGUUCAAUCCCUGGCCCCACUCCGUGGGUUAAGGAUCUGGCGUUGCUGUGAGCUGUGGUGUAGGCCGCAGAUGCAGCUCCAGUUCAACCCCUAACCCGGGAACCUCCAUAUGCCAUGGGUGCGGCCCUAAAAAGACAAAUAAAUAAGUAAG
rnacentral:lncRNA from 1 species